rnacentral:rRNA from 1 species
CAGUAGCCGCGGUAAUACGAAGGGGGCUAGCGUUGUUCGGAUUUACUGGGCGUAAAGCGCACGUAGGCGGACUUUUAAGUCAGGGGUGAAAUCCCGGGGCUCAACCCCGGAACUGCCUUUGAUACUGGAAGUCUUGAGUAUGGUAGAGGUGAGUGGAAUUCCGAGUGUAGAGGUGAAAUUCGUAGAUAUUCGGAGGAACACCAGUGGCGAAGGCGGCUCACUGGACCAUUACUGACGCUGAGGUGCGAAAGCGUGGGGAGCAAACAGGAUUAGAUACCCCGGUAGUCCCUGUCUCUUAUAC